UGGGGAAUUUUGCACAAUGGGGGAAACCCUGAUGCAGCGACGCCGCGUGAUUUAGAAGGCCUUCGGGUUGUAAAAAUCUUUUCUAUGGGAAGAAAAUGACAGUACCAUAGGAAUAAGGACCGGCUAAUUACGUGCCAGCUGCCGCGGUAAUACGUAAGGUCCGAGCGUUGUCCGGAAUCAUUGGGCGUAAAGGGUACGUAGGCGGGUAAGCAAGUUAGAAGUGAAAUCCUAUAGCUCAACUAUAGUAAGCUUUUAAAACUGCUCAUCUUGAGGUAUGGAAGGGAAAGUGGAAUUCCUAGUGUAGCGGUGAAAUGCGCAGAUAUUAGGAGGAAUACCGGUGGCGAAGGCGACUUUCUGGCCAUAACCUGACGCUGAGGUACGAAAGCGUGGGUAGCAAACAGG
rnacentral:rRNA from 1 species